rnacentral:hammerhead_ribozyme from 1 species
AUCCAGCCGACGAGUUCCAAAUAAGACGAAACGCGCGUCCUCGAU